UACGUAGGGACCGAGCGUUAUCCGGAUUCAUUGGGCGUAAAGAGCUCGUAGGCGGCUAUUCAAGUCGAACGUGAAAUCUCGGAGCUCAACUCCGAGCCUGCGUUCGAUACUGGGUAGCUAGAGUCUGGUAGGGGGAUCUGGAAUUCCUGGGUGUAGCGGUGAAAUGCGCAGAUAUCAGGAAGAACACCCGUGGCGAAGGCGGCUCUCUGGGACGGUACUGACGCUGAGACGCGAAAGCGUGGGGAGCGAACAGG
rnacentral:rRNA from 1 species